rnacentral:rRNA from 1 species
UAAUACGUAGGCAGCGAGCGUUGUUCGGAAUUACUGGGCGUAAAGAGUGUGUAGGCGGUGCUCUAAGUUCGGUGUGAAAUCUCCUGGCUCAACUGGGAGGGUGCGCCGGAAACUGGAGUGCUCGAGCGUGGGAGAGGAAAGCGGAAUUCCUGGUGUAGCGGUGAAAUGCGUAGAUAUCAGGAGGAACACCUGUGGUGUAGACAGCUUUCUGGACCAUAGCUGACGCUGAGACACGAAAGCGUGGGUAGCAAACAGGAUUAGAUACCCUGGUAGUCCACGCCCUAAACGAUGCAUACUUGGUGUCGGCCAUUCAGUUGGUCGGUGCCGGAGCUAACGCGUUAAGUAUGCCGCCUGGGGAGUACGGUCGCAAGGCU